AUUGAACGCUGGCGGCAUGCUUUACACAUGCAAGUCGAACGGUAACAGGCCUUCGGGCGCUGACGAGUGGCGAACGGGGGAGUAAUGCAUCGGAACGUGCCCAGUCGUGGGGGAUAACGCAGCGAAAGCUGUGCUAAUACCGCAUACGAUCUGCGGACGAAAGCGGGGGACCUUUGGGCCUCGCUCGGUGGGAGCGGCCGAUGUCAGAUUUGGUAGUUGGUGGGGUAAAGGCCUACCAAGGCAAUGACGCUUAGGGGAGGUGAGAGCCUGGCCCCCACCGAUGGAACUGAGACACGGUCCAUACACCUACGGGUGGCCGCAGUCGAGAAUCUUCCGCAAUGGGCGAAAGCCUGACGGAGCGACGCCGCGUGGUGGAUGAAGUCCCUCGGGAUGUAAACACCUUUUAUAGGGGAGGAAUCCGGUUUUUCCGGUGUGACGGCACCCUAUGAAUAAGUACCUGCUAAACUCGUGCCAGCCGCCGCCGUAAUAC
rnacentral:rRNA from 1 species